UACGUAGGUGACAAGCGUUGUCCGGAUUUACUGGGCGUAAAGAGCGCGCAGGCGGUCGUUCAAGUCGAGUGUGAAAGCCCCCGGCUCAACUGGGGAGGGUCACUCGAUACUGAUCGACUUGAAGGCAGGAGAGGGAAGCGGAAUUCCCGGUGUAGUGGUGAAAUGCGUAGAUAUCGGGAGGAACACCUGUGGCGAAAGCGGCGCACUGGACCAUAACUGACGCUGAGGCGCGAAAGCUAGGGGAGCAAACAGG
rnacentral:rRNA from 1 species